rnacentral:rRNA from 1 species
AGCGAACGCUGGCGGCAGGCCUAACACAUGCAAGUCGAGCGCCCAGCAAUGGGAGCGGCAGACGGGAGAGUAACACGUGGGAACGUGCCCUUCAGUUCGGAACAACCAAGGGAAACUUUGGCUAAUACCGGAUACGUCCGAAAGGAGAAAGAUUUAUCGCUGAAGGAGCGGCCCGCGUCUGAUUAGCUAGUUGGUGAGGUAAUGGCUCACCAAGGCGACGAUCAGUAGCUGGUCUGAGAGGAUGAUCAGCCUCACUGGGACUGAGACACGGCCCAAACUCCUACGGGAGGCAGCAGUGGGGAAUAUUGUACAAUGGCGCAAGCCUGAUCCAGCCAUGCCGCGUGAGUGAUGAAGGCCCUAGGGUUGUAAAGCUCUUUUGUGCGGGAAGAUAAUGACGGUACCGCAAGAAUAAGCCCCGGCUAACUUCGUGCCAGCAGCCGCGGUAAU